rnacentral:rRNA from 1 species
AAGUCUGGUGCCAGCAGCCGCGGUAAUUCCAGCUCCAAUAGCGUAUACUAAAGUUGUUGCAGUUAAAAAGCUCGUAGUUGAAUUUCGGGGUUAGUAGGUUGGUCAUGCCUCUGGUAUGUACUGGUCUCACUGAUUCCUCCUUCCUUAUGAACCGUAAUGCCAUUAAUUUGGUGUUGCGGGGAAUUUGGACUGUUACUUUGAAAAAAUUAGAGUGUUUAAAGCAAGCUAACGCUUGAAUACAUUAGCAUGGAAUAAUGAAAUAGGACGUUCGAUCUUAUUUUGUUGGUUUCUAGGAUUGACGUAAUGAUUAAUAGGGAUAGUUGGGGGCAUUAGCAUUCAAUUGUCAGAGGUGAAAUUCUUGGAUUUAUUGAAGACUAACUACUGCGAAAGCAUUUGCCAAGGAUGUUUUCAUUAAUCAAGAACGAAAGUUAGGGGAUCGAAGACGAUCAGAUACCGUCGUAGUCUUAACCAUAAACUAUGCCGACUAGGGAUCGGAUGAUGUUAAUUUUUUAAUGACUCAUUCGGCGCCUUACGGGAAACCAAAGUGUUUGGGU